rnacentral:rRNA from 1 species
UACGUAGGCAGCAAGCGUUGUUCGGAGUUACUGGGCGUAAAGGGUGUGUAGGCGGUUCUUUAAGUUUGCUGUGAAAUCUCCCGGCUUAACCGGGAGGGUGCGGUGAAUACUGAGGGACUAGAGUACGGGAGAGGAAAGUGGAAUUCCUGGUGUAGCGGUGAAAUGCGUAGAUAUCAGGAGGAACACCGGUGGUGUAGACGGCUUUCUG